ACAUGCAAGUCGAGGGGCAGCAUUUUAGUUUGCUUGCAAACUGAAGAUGGCGACCGGCGCACGGGUGAGUAACACGUAUCCAACCUGCCGAUAACUCCGGGAUAGCCUUUCGAAAGAAAGAUUAAUACCGGAUGGCAUACGAAUAUCGCAUGAUAUUUUUAUUAAAGAAUUUCGGUUAUCGAUGGGGAUGCGUUCCAUUAGUUUGUUGGCGGGGUAACGGCCCACCAAGACUACGAUGGAUAGGGGUUCUGAGAGGAAGGUCUCCCACAUUGGAACUGAGACACGGUCCAAACUCCUACGGGAGGCAGCAGUGAGGAAUAUUGGUCAAUGGGCGAGAGCCUGAACCAGCCAAGUAGCGUGAAGGAUGAAGGCUCUAUGGGUCGUAAACUUCUUUUAUAUGGGAAUAAAGUUUUCCACGUGUGGAAUUUUGUAUGUACCAUAUGAGUAAGGAUCGGCUAACUCCGUGCCAGCAGCCGCGGUAAUACGGAGGAUCCGAGCGUUAUCCGGAUUUAUUGGGUUUAAAGGGAGCGUAGGUGGAUUGUUAAGUCAGUUGUGAAAGUUUGCGGCUCAACCGUAAAAUUGCAGUUGAAACUGGGAGUCUUGAGUACAGUAGAGGUGGGCGGAAUUCGUGGUGUAGCGGUGAAAUGCUUAGAUAUCACGAAGAACUCCGAUUGC
rnacentral:rRNA from 1 species